rnacentral:misc_RNA from 1 species
UUUCCGUAGGUGAACCUGCGGAAGGAUCAUUAUUGAAUAACCGAUGUGCGAGGUCUGACACUGACCCGAACGGUCGUUCACACCCCAGUGGUCUUACUUAUAUCCAUCUCACCCCUUCGUCUACUACCGCGAGUGUCCGCCUUUGGACUGUUCUGAGGGGGCCAUACAUUUACAAAUUAACUCAGCAUGCAUUGUAGCUCGUACUUUUUGUUUUUACGAACAAGAAAUGAAUACAACUCUCAACAACGCAUGUCUUGGCCCUCUCAUCGAUGAGGAACC